GUCGAGCGAGAAGUACUUCGGUACGAGUACGCGGCGGACGGGUGAGUAACGCGUACGAAUCUACCUAGUAGUGGGGGACAACUCGUGGAAACGCGAGCUAAUACCGCAUACGCCCUACGGGGGAAAGCGGGGGAUCUUCGGACCUCGUGCUAUUAGAUGAGCCUGCGUAAGAUUAGCUAGUUGGUGGGGUAAAGGCCUACCAAGGCGACGAUCUUUAGCUGGUCUGAGAGGAUGAUCAGCCACACCGGGACUGAGACACGGCCCGGACUCCUACGGGAGGCAGCAGUCGGGAAUAUUGCGCAAUGGGCGAAAGCCUGACGCAUCCAUGCCGCGUGUGUGAAGAAGGCCCUAGGGUUGUAAAGCACUUUCAAUUGGGAGGAAAAGCUAAUGGUUAAUAGCCAUUAGCCCUGACGUUACCUUUAGAAGAAGCACCGGCUAACUCCGUGCCAGCAGCCGCGGUAAUACGGAGGGUGCAAGCGUUAAUCGGAAUUACUGGGCGUAAAGCGCGCGUAGGCGGCUCUUUAAGUCGGAUGUGAAAGCCCCGGGCUCAACCUGGGAACUGCAUCCGAUACUGGGGAGCUAGAGUGUAGGAGAGGGAGGUAGAAUUCCAUGUGUAGCAGUGAAAUGCGUAGAUAUAUGGAGGAAUACCAGUGGCGAAGGCGGCCUCCUGGCUUAACACUGACGCUGAGGUGCGAAAGCGUGGGGAGCAAACGGGAUUAGAUACCCCGGUAGUCCACGCCGUACACGAUGUCUACUAGCUGUACGGGUACUUGAGACCUUUGUAGCGCAGCUCACGCACUAAGUAGACCGCCUGGGGAGUACGGC
rnacentral:rRNA from 1 species